CGGACAUCAGGAGGUUAGUGCAAUGGCAUAAGCUAGCUUGACUGCGAGCGUGACGGCGCGAGCAGGUGCGAAAGCAGGUCAUAGUGAUCCGGUGGUUCUGAAUGGAAGGGCCAUCGCUCAACGGAUAAAAGGUACUCCGGGGAUAACAGGCUGAUACCGCCCAAGAGUUCAUAUCGACGGCGGUGUUUGGCACCUCGAUGUCGGCUCAUCACAUCCUGGGGCUGAAGUAGGUCCCAAGGGUAUGGCUGUUCGCCAUUUAAAGUGGUACGCGAGCUGGGUUUAGAACGUCGUGAGACAGUUCGGUCCCUAUCUGCCGUGGGCGCUGGAGAAUUGGGGGGCUGCUCCUAGUACGAGAGGACCGGAGUGGACGCAUCACUGGUGUUCGGGUUGUCAUGCCAAUGGCACUGCCCGGUAGCUAAAUGCGGAAGAGAUAAGUGCUGAAAGC
rnacentral:rRNA from 1 species